CCUACGGGUGGCAGCAGUGAGGAAUAUUGGUCAAUGGGCGCGAGCCUGAACCAGCCAAGUCGCGUGAGGGAAGACGGUCCUAUGGAUUGUAAACCUCUUUUGUCGGGGAGCAAAAACCGCCACGCGUGGCGUUCCGAGAGUACCCGAAGAAAAAGCAUCGGCUAACUCCGUGCCAGCAGCCGCGGUAAUACGGAGGAUGCGAGCGUUAUCCGGAUUUAUUGGGUUUAAAGGGAGCGUAGAUGGGUGGUUAAGUCAGUUGUGAAAGUUUGCGGCUCAACCGUAAAAGUGCAAUUGACACUGGCAGCCGUGAGUAGAGUUGAGGUAGGCGGAAUGCGUGGUGUAGCGGUGAAAUGCUUAGAUAUCACGAAGAACUCCGAUUGCGAAGGCAGCAUACUAGCCUGCCACUGACGUUGAUGCUCGAAAGUGUGGGUAUCAAACAGGAUUAGAUACCCUGGUAGUC
rnacentral:rRNA from 1 species